CCUCCUUCUGCAGCUUUGCUCGCAGAACUGUGCGCGGGGAGCGAAGGGUCCAGAGUCCCAGGUUAGGUUGAGCCUCAGCGAGUCUCCACCUCAUCCACUCGUUUUACAGAAAAAGUUAGUUGGAAAGGUCCCUCGCUUUCAUAUCCCACGGCGAAGCCACGAGCUGGCGGAUGACUUCGGAGUUCUCAGAGCCGAGGAAACCCAGCGCAUCGGGGUUAUAACAAGCCCGUUUCAAGGCCCCACAUCUUGGACGUGUUAGAAGCGAGGCCGGUAGGACGUCAGAUCCCGUACUUUCUCCAUAGGAUUAUUAGCAACUUUUACCUUAGGAAGGCGAGGACCCACGGAGUCACCUGUGCACCUGGCAGCCAAGUGCUCAUCUCCAACACACAGAAUUGGACAGCUGACACCCUACCUAGACAUCUCCAUGCUAGAGCACAGCAAAUGCCCGAUACAGCCAUGUCUGGAUUGAUGGUUGGAGCAGCUGCAGGUAUAUACCCAGGAGGACUGACAGCAGAGACAGGAAAAUAAAUCUGUACGUGUCUGUAGCAGUGCUACUCAUAAGAGGCAAAAAGAAAAGGAAGCAACUUAAGCAUCCGUCAACAGAUGAAUGGAAAAGCGAAAUGUGGCACACACAUGCAAUGGAAGAAUUAUUCACCGAAAAAAAAAAGAAGGAAGUUCUGACACAUUCUACAACUCCCGUGAAUUUUGAAGACAUUAUCCUAAAUAGAAUAAGCCUCUCAAAUAAAGGCAAAUAUCACGAUUCCACUUAUAGGAGACGGCAGAGAAGUGAAAAAAUCACAAAAGGAGAAAGUGGAGUGGUGGUAGCCAAGGAGCUGGAGGAGGGAGGGGUUAUUUUCAAUGGGCAAAGACCUCGCUGUAUAAGAUGAAGACUUUUGGAGCUGGACAGGGGAAAGUUACACAUUAUAUAUGUAUUUAAUACCACUGAACUAUAUACUUGAAAGUGGUUAAGACAGUAAAUUUUCUGUUAUGCAUAUUUUACUAUAAUAAAAAAAAUGGGAAAACAUGUAGCUGCUUAAAAAGUUGACACUUCC